CCUCUCCCCCACUGAAAUGUUUCUGGCAUCCCGUCGCUGUCUGGCUUGCGGCCUCUUCCUGUCAGAGGGGGAGACGCUGCCGGCUUCGUCCGACUCAGACCAUCGGCAGUGAGAAGUCACAGACCCCUCCGACCCCUCAGCGCGUCUCUCUCUCGCGGUCAUACCACACGCACAAAGUGGGCGAGGGACACACACACACACUCAGCUAGGAGGGAAUAGGAAGUGAAAUGUCAAUACAAGCGCAGGCAGCUGUUCUAGCGCGGCGACAGUCUGAUCAGAGACACAAACGCCGUGUGUCCGAUAUCUCGACGUGUUCCCCUUUCCUUACCGAGCAGCUGUGGCUCUCCGUGCUCCCUCCGUGAUGUCGACAGGUGGCUGCAGAGAUAGCCGCCCCCAUGCAUCCAUUGCCGUCUCUCCCCCUUUUGCUUUACAAAUGCAGCUGAGCGGUCAUCGUCGACUCCGCCGUAACCAAACUGAAAACGGGACCCGUCAGGCUGCAGACGAGCUGCAGUGAAGCGCGAAGCGGCAAAGUGACUCGCUCAUCAUGUCUGUUUCACUCAUGCAAAAAAAACAAAACGCUGCUGACCACAGGAUCAGGAACUAAGACCGGUUAAUAUAGCUCUUAAAGUUACAGUCUCACCCUGUUCACCUUGAUAGGACUGACCUGGAACAAACACACAGAUGAAUCACUAAGUGUCCUCUUUCAUGUUUAUUUGCCCUUUCGGAUCCCAUGAACGGCAUCAUCAGAGAUCGGCUGGCUCUUUGCUGAAGCUGGAGGACGUCACACGGGCAGGACUAUUAAAACCCAAGCCUCCACGUCCAUCAAAAGGACAAGUCCUGACCGCGUAAGGCGGUUGUGUUCAAUUCCUUCAUCAAGCCCUUUUAAAACUUUAAUGAUCAAUCGAGAGUCUGAACUAAAAAAAGGCUGCAGCAGGACGGACAAUGAGAGCGCGGGCAGACAGGUGGACAGGUGGACAGGUGGACUGGUGGACAGGUGGACAGGCUGGUUUUCUGCCCAAACGUUUCCCACGUCUUCCCUUCCCAGGCCUGCGUUUCAGUCUCUCUUCCCCUCGGCGUCGUAUUGUUGGCUCUCUUGCAGCCGGCGGCUCACAGAGACCCGUCCCCCCGAUGAAGUUCUAAUAGCCCGUCGGCUCCACUUGUCCGCCUCUAUAAAUAGCGAUGAAUCCAUUUUGUUGGGGUGCAAGUUGUCAGCACCUCAAUCUCAUCCAUUCACUGACGGCUGCAUUUCACAAGCAGCAGUCGUCACGAUGGCGCUUAGGAGACUAUGAACUUAAUUAUCACAGCGCAGUGUUGCCAAAGUUAGAAGUAAUUAAACACGUUUACCUUCAGCUUGAUAUUGAAUAAAGGGAUGUUUUACAGGGAAGGAGAGGGAUUUGGAAUUAUACUGGUGAUUAAACUGUUGUUUAUUAUUAGAAAUGCGGACUGAAACAGUUGUAGUUGAGGUCGUGAUGUGAGCUUUAGUGUGUGUGUGUGUGUGUGUGUGUGUGUGUGUGGGCCUUUUUUGGCAAUGUGAGGCAAUGUUGUUGGGAGCUACAGGGGCAGAAAAGGCAGAAGGGUUUUGUUGGCCUGCUCACGAUUCUGAACAUUCACUUAAGAGGAGCGACUUAACUUAAUAGUGCCAUUCAUCACUGUAAAUGUUGUGUGUGUGUGUGCGCGUUAAGUAGUGCACUAUGUAAAAGAGAGAGGGCAACGGACAGAAGCAUAACUUGAAUGCUCCUCACAUCCUGAUGUCUGUACACAGCCUCAUUCAGCAGACAGUGCAGGGGAUUCGGGUUAUGGGGGGGGGGGGGGGGGGGCCGUUUGGCAGGUGCCAAUGAAAUUCAAUUAAUCCCUCUAAUGACACACAAACAAUCACGUCUUCAUGCCGCCCCCGGGGCAGAUAAAAUACAGCAAAAUAUUUCAAAUAAUUCACAUAAUAUUACACUCUGAUGGAGGCCAAGCUGUAGCGCACAUUAACACUCGCACGGUACACACACACACACACACACACACACACACACACACACACACGUGGGACUAAUGCACUGUAACAGGCUGGUAAUGAAUAAAACAGCACAGUGGGGCAUUGUGAGCUGCAUGUUGAGAGCACUAACAGGAGGGAAUGUUGCUCCUCAUAAUGUCAGCACAUCAGAUGGGGGUGAGGGAGGGAGGGACGGAGGGAGGGAGGGAGGUAACUCCAGGGGAGCACACCGAGCCGACUCCCACGAGGGUGAGGGAGCCCCCUCUGGUGCAGGGCGACGGAGUCGGGUGUGGGACGCCGUCCCGUGGUGGCGAGCAGCGGUGAAAAAAUGAGCAAAUGGAAAAAACUAAAACGUCGCCAAAUUCCCGGCCGAUAUCUGGUCUUUACAUUUAAACUUUGGCCUUCCCUGCAUUAGUUAACGGCUCACAGGAUAAACCUUGGAUUGUGUGUUUCCUGUUAAUCCAUAAAAUCCUUCAUAUUCCAGGGGAAAUUAUGUCGGCAAAUCUCCUUCAGCGGUCUUAAGAUACAGCACGGCUGAACGUCACUUGCACGAGGGGACAGGCUUCUCCCCCGUCCAGGUCCACAGACUGUGCAGAAAGGGUGAGCUGCGUGUGUGUGUGUGUGUGUGUGCGCGUGUUGAGGCAGUGUCCGCUCCACAGCUGGGGAGGAGCAGAUCGGCAUGAAUGCCGUCUUUUUGAGAGCGUCGAUCUUCUCAAGAGACUUCGGUAAACGCUCAUGUGUUUGUGUUCCUGCCUUUGUCCAUUGUGAUCGCCGCGGCAACAAACGGCCGCUCUGUUCAGGCUGCUGAGGAAUAAGGCGCCAAAACCCCGACCAUUAGAAAAGCUCCACGGGUCCUCACACUCAAUCUGCUUCUCUCGGGAUACAAGACAGGUCAAGGACACUGGAGACAUUAUUUGGACUGAGUAAACAAAAAAAUGUUUUCAGUGGCCAUCUUCCCAGGCAGGCGAACAAUGCUGGGAAAAACAAAAAAACUGCAGUCGGGAGCCGUCUCUAAGCAGCCAAGAGGUCAAGGUGUCUUUGGACCGGAGACACACACAGACGUGGCUGACUUUUCUCUGAACGCUACCUGCAUAUGAAAAAGGUAGCAAACAGCGUUGUUGACCUACAACAGUCAGUCCGGAUCAGAGCCGCUAGACUCCGCUAGUAGCUAGACGGGGGAAACUGCAAAAACAGGGAGAAAAUAGGUUUGUGGAAAAGCAGGGCAGGAACCGCCUGAAGGGGAAGAUAAAGUUCUGACAGACGAGGAACAUAGAGGACGACCGAUCCGAGCGUAACCUCAAAGGAGAAGACUACAAGCAGCGAACGGCGUUGAAUGUUUAAUGCGGAGGGUUGUUUCAGAGGAGAGGUGGAUGUCGUUUCUGGCUGAGACAGCCCCCAUGCUGCACCCACCUCUCCCCUUUUUAGGAGUCACAAUAACCCCGCGCACGGUGCCAGGAUUCUCCCACAUUUUGGUGUGACCGCAGUAUUACUGCUCCUCAAAUCUCACUGGAAUCCAAACAAUAUGAGAUCCGUCCCCCCCCCCCCCCCGUCCCACUGGGACAAAUCCAAACUCGCAUGUUAUGCAAAUCGCGUGCUUCUGUCCACGGGAGAUUUCUACCAGCACAUGCGUGUAAAUCUGCCAUGGCCUCUUAGGACCUGGCAGGUGAACGGGUCACAUGACCCGCUUCACAGCAGAUGCUCCGGUCCGUACGCGGCAUGCGCGCGACCCACCUACAGCGGCUGGGGGGGGACACGGGGAGCGGAAAGGGCCCCACUGUGUAAUGGAAUGGUUGAGCAGGCAUGAUGGUAAUGGACAUGGAAAGCAGAUUAAAAACGAUUAUGGCAGAAGGGCCGAGGAGGAUAAGAGGUCCAUUCUAUAAUGCAGAUGAUUAUCCCUCUCUGCCGGUUGAUUACGGACACAGGACGGGGAGAAGCACACGAUGUUUUGAUUUGUGUCAUUUUAAUAAAAGUAUGUUAGAUAAUGAAAACAAGAGACACAUUAGCAAAAUGUUCUUUAAGGUUGUUGUCCACAGACAGUAGUGGCUCAUCUGCACGGACCGGUAGUUCAGGUUGGUGCAGCUGUACUACAGACUGUUUAAAGUCUGAACACUAUUGGACUUCUGCCAGCAACACAUCCAUGUCCAAUAGGUCCAAAAUCAUGGGCAUGAUUCUUUUUAUUUUAAAGAAAAGGUGAAAUUGCACAGAGCAUUAGUAUUAGUAUCGGUUCGAUUGUU
ensembl:lncRNA